CGCCUGUUUAACAAAAACAUGUAAAUUAGAUUUAUAAUGCCUGCUCAAUGAAAUAUUUAAAUAGCCGCGUUAGUGUUAAGGUAGCAUAGUAAUUAGUUUUUUAAUUGGAAAAUGGAAUGAAUGGUUUCACUAAGAUAUGGUAUUUAUGCUAAUAAAUGAAAUUUUAAUUUAAGUGAAAUACUUAAAAGAUCUUUUAAGACGAGAAGACCCUAUGAAGCUAUAGACUAUAAAUAUAAUUAUUAUAAAUUUUUAAGUUUAUUUUUUGGGGUAAAAUUUAAUAAUUUUAUUUAAAUAAGCUUAUUUUAAUUGAUCCUUUAGGAAUUAUGAAAAAGCUCCUCUAGGGAUAACAGCAUUAUACCUAUAAGAGUUCUUAUCAGAAUAGGUGUUUGUGACCUCGAUGUUGAAU
rnacentral:rRNA from 1 species